GUCGUCUGGUCGAGAUGGCGAUGAAAGAUCCAGAAACUACUUUCUGCCCAGGUGUGAGAAGAAUGUGGCGAAACUCUCCACUUAAGAUGUUCAAAGCCAGAGAUGAAGAACAAAAAUGAACUUAAGCAGGUUUUUGAUGCAUUGUCAACUCACCAAACCCUGCAAAGCUGCACACUGGUGGGAGUUUGGUGAGAAGCUUGAGGGAGGAUGCCACGAGGACAUUUCAGCAUAGACUUUGAAUACUUGGAAGAAGAGGGCACCCACUGAAGUCGCAUGGUGAUAAUUGGCCGCUUCAGCAGCAUGACUAAGGUGUUCUAGUUGAAGGUACCUGGCUUUGGACACUUCAGAAGAUGUUCUCUCCCGAGGUGUUUUGUCAAGUUCCAUGUAAAUGCUGAACUGAGGACGUUGAGGUCAACUGUAUCGCCCCAGCUCGUCAGGGUUGGUGGCACCGUCUGACUUGUGUUGAACAGCACAGACCCUUGAGUCUGCUACAGCAGCGAGAAAUCAUCACAUGAUCUUGAGCUCAGUUGGCCCAUGUUGCAUAGAUGAACCUGCUGUGCUGCUGCCUACUGCUUUGGGGCAUUUGACUCUGGACUGAAUUUGGGUUCCAUCACAACACUCCUUCAGCCAGCUUGGCUCCAAUACAAUUGAUUAACUGCAGUUAAUCUAAAGAUGAAGUGAUGCUUCAGAAGACAGGUUUAUUUGUUUGUGUUCCACUUGAUUUGCAAAGACAGAACCUACACUUGACAUUAAAUCCUGCUAACUGAGCAACAGGACUGCUGUGACAUGUUGAAUUGUGCUUUGUAAUGACCUGUCUGGACUCUUGUGUGCAUUUCCAGGUAGCUGGAAAGUUUUAAUGGUGGAAAUUUCAAAUAAAAUGUAGGUUUCUGUAC